rnacentral:lncRNA from 1 species
AAGCGGAUUUCAGAGGUGAGUUAGAAGAGCAUCCUUAUGAGGAUGAUGUCUUCACUAAAUCAGUGGUGCAAUGCAGCAAGCAGGGUGGAAAGGAGUCUCCUCUGGAUAAAGUCCUGUGACUCAUUUAAAAAGACUGAACAUCACUUUGACGUACACAAACAGAACUAGAAAGCAGCUCAAGCCAAUGAAACAAAGCUUGUUUUGCAGGAAAACAUUAGGUAAACAUUCCUAGAAAGACAGAAGUGAAAUGCCUGGCAGGAACUACAGCAAGCAUCUGCUGCUCAGUGGUUAAAGAUUGCCCAGCAAAGUCAAGGGGACACGAGAAGAGAGCAAGGCUGAAGCUGAGGUCAUACCCGAGGAUCUUUCUACAUUCCUCCAAAGGGUGGAAAUCCCACCCUACCACACAUUCUCCUAGAUCAUAUGGGAGAUCUUCAGCUGAGUCACUGUAGAAGAGCAAUGUAGAAAUU